rnacentral:rRNA from 1 species
AUACGUAGGGAGCGAGCGUUGUCCGGAAUUACUGGGUGUAAAGGGAGCGUAGGCGGGAGUGCAAGUCAGAUGUGAAAUGCAUGGGCUUAACCCAUGAGCUGCAUUUGAAACUGCAUUUCUUGAGUGAAGUAGAGGUAAGCGGAAUUCCUGGUGUAGCGGUGAAAUGCGUAGAUAUCAGGAGGAACACCGGUGGCGAAGGCGGCUUACUGGGCUUUUACUGACGCUGAGGCUCGAAAGCGUGGGGAGCAAACAGGAUUAGAUACCCUGGUAGUCCACGCUGUAAACGAUGAUUACUAGGUGUGGGGGGACUGACCCCUUCCGUGCCGCAGUUAACACAAUAAGUAAUCCACCUGGGGAGUACGGCCGCAAGGUUGAAACUCAAAUGAAUUGACGGGG